rnacentral:tRNA from 1 species
GGGCCUUUAGCUCAGUCGGUUAGAGCAGGGGACUCAUAAUCCCUUGGUCGUUGGUUCGAGUCCAACAAGGCCCACCA